GACGAACGCUGGCGGCGUGCUUAACACAUGCAAGUCGAACGGAAAGGCCCUGCUUUUGUGGGGUGCUCGAGUGGCGAACGGGUGAGUAACACGUGAGUAACCUGCCCUUGACUUUGGGAUAACUUCAGGAAACUGGGGCUAAUACCGGAUAGGAGCUCCUGCUGCAUGGUGGGGGUUGGAAAGUUUCGGCGGUUGGGGAUGGACUCGCGGCUUAUCAGCUUGUUGGUGGGGUAGUGGCUUACCAAGGCUUUGACGGGUAGCCGGCCUGAGAGGGUGACAGGCCACAUUGGGACUGAGAUACGGCCCAGACUCAUACGGGAGGCAGCAGUGGGGAAUAUUGCACAAUGGGCGGAAGCCUGAUGCAGCAACGCCGCGUGCGGGAUGACGGCCUUCGGGUUGUAAACCGCUUUCGCCUGUGACGAAGCGUGAGUGAGGGUAAUGGGGAAAGAAGCACCGGCAAACUACGG
rnacentral:rRNA from 1 species